rnacentral:rRNA from 1 species
AUUGAACGCUGGCGGCAUGCCUUACACAUGCAAGUCGAACGGUAACAGGUUAAGCUGACGAGUGGCGAACGGGUGAGUAAUGCAUCGAAACGUGCCCGAUCGUGGGGGAUAACGCAGCGAAAGCUGCGCUAAUACCGCAUACGAUCUGAGGAUGAAAGCGGGGGACCGUAAGGCCUCGCGCGAUCGGAGCGGCCGAUGUCAGAUUAGGUAGUUGGUGGGGUAAAGGCUCACCAAGCCAACGAUCUGUAGCUGGUCUGAGAGGACGACCAGCCACACUGGGACUGAGACACGGCCCAGACGCCUACGGGAGGCAGCAGUGGGGAAUUUUGGACAAUGGGCGAAAGCCUGAUCCAGCAAUGCCGCGUGCAGGAAGAAGGCCUUCGGGUUGUAGACUGCUUUUGUACGGAGCGAAAAGGCUCUCUCUGAUACAGGGGGCUCAUGACGGUACCGUAAGAAUAAGCACCGGCUAACUACGUGCCAGCAGCCGCGGUAA